GCUAAUUUUUUUUCUUAAUUCCUCAUCUCCUUUGAUUCCAAUUCAAGUGUGGUGCAAUUGGAUUUUAUAUUCUGAUUUUAGAAAUAAACUUUGUUCUCAAUUUUGUUAUUGAUUUGCAAAUAUAGUUAUGAUAAGAGUUGUUAAACUUAAAGAUUGAAUAUUUUAUCUUUCUUAUUGGAUUGAAGCUUCUAAUAUGAAGUAAGCCUCUUAAGUAAGUUUAUAAAAACUGAUUUUUAUAAAUUAUGUUGUUUGAUAAUACUCUCUGAAAUCAGAAUGAUGUUAAUUAGAGAUAGAAUUGAUGUUGUGAGUUGGAUUAGUAGAAUGGGUCGUAUAUAAGGUUGUAGUGGUUAGUUCAUGGAAGAGCUUAGAAAGUAUGAGUAAUUCAAUUUGUUUAUCUAAAUUGUUGUGAGGAUGGUUAAUGAUUGUUGUUAUUGUUUUGAGGUCGUUGUUGGAGUAUGUAUAUGGAGAUAAAUUAUGAAGUUCGAGCUAUAGUGGUUAUCCAGAAUGUCGAGUUAUUGGGAAUUGUUUCAAGGGUUCAUUAUUAGUGAUUUUGCAGGGUUGAUGUCGAGGUCGUGGAAUAUGAUUAUUGAUCAAGAAGAAGAGUUUUAUGUUAUGAAAUGGUGGGCUGAGGUUAAAGUUAGAUGUUUUGUUUCAAAGUAUUCGUAAUCUGUUAUUUGAUUUUCAAGUUGUUAUAUUGUGGGCCCCUGACCCACAGAUCCAGGAUCGUUUUUAUAGGUUUAGUUUCCGCUGUAAAUAAAUGCAAAUUCGAGGUUUGUUAAGUGUUGAUUUUGUUUUGUGUA